CCCGCACAAGCGGCGGAGCAUGCGGAUUAAUUCGAUGCAACGCGAGAACCUUACCAAGGCUUGACAUACACCGGUAACGCCCAGAGAUGGGUGCCCCUUUGUGGUCGGUGUACAGGUGGUGCAUGGUUGUCGUCAGCUCGUGUCGUGAGAUGUUGGGUUAAGUCCCGCAACGAGCGCAACCCUCGUCCUAUGUUGCCAGCGGGUCAUGCCGGGGACUCAUGGGAGACUGCCGGGGUCAACUCGGAGGAAGGUGGGGAUGACGUCAAAUCAUCAUGCCCCUUAUGUCUUGGGCUUCACGCAUGCUACAAUGGCCGGUACAAAGGGCUGCGAUACCGCGAGGUGGAGCGAAUCCCAGAAAGCCGGUCUCAGUUCGGAUUGGGGUCUGCAACUCGACCCCAUGAAGUCGGAGUCGCUAGUAAUCGCAGAUCAGCAACGCUGCGGUGAAUACGUUCCCGGGCCUU
rnacentral:rRNA from 1 species